UAUCAACGCAAAGUAUAUUAAGUUCACAAUGAUAGGGUGACAUUAUUACACAAUUUACUACACUUUCCUUAUUUCAUUAUAAAGACGUGGCUUGGCAAACACCUUACAUUACACUUAUACAUAUGGCAGUGUCAUUUUGGCUACAUAGAAAAUGUUGAAAAUGAUCUAAUUUAACUUUACUUGUUGUCUUUGUAAAUAUAUUUACUAAGUUAUCUUC